rfam:Paludibacter sp. 47-17 scnpilot_p_inoc_scaffold_29, whole genome shotgun sequence.
UUGUUGGUGACGACAGCAGUGAAGGAAGCGAGACUGCAAAAUCCGGUACUGACGAACAGAAACGGUAUAUGAGGCAUAUUUGUUUUGGGUAAGCAACCACACCCUUGUAACGCCCAAAAUGGUAAUUUGUGGACAGAUAUGUAGAUACCGCAGUGAUUGGAAGAAGGAAAAAGCUC